GGCUGCUACUGCUGGCUUCCAAAGAUCUCCUGUUCUGGACUGAUUACGCAAAAGUAGCCCCUGAUAGCAGGCACAAGGAAGUUUCCCGUGUGAUGCCCCCAUCUUGGAGCCCUGGUGGAGCCCAGGUGUCCCACAGAGGUCCAACCAACAGAGCUGAAGUGACAGAGAAUCUGCUGUCUCCUCGGGCACUUGCUGACCACUCUCAAGUCACCUCUUCACCUUCCUGGGGACAGACGAAAUGGAUUGAAUGUCUCUAGUUCCUGGCUGUUUAUCAACCUCCCAUUCUUCUUGCUUCUGCUGCCUGAAACCUCUCCAGUCUGCUCUCAGCCUCCUCUCCAGCUGGACACAGCACGCAAUGAUAACCAGCAAAUAUGCUGCCAGAGCUGCCUGGUGCAUGUGCCAGAGGAGAAGGCAGGGCUCUCUCACGGCUGCCUGCAGUGUCUUUCUUCAAUGGUUCGUUAAGGUUUGGGUUCUGGUUAGCAUCCUGCCCUCUUUGAGCAUC